rnacentral:rRNA from 1 species
GAGUGGAGCGCCGUCAGUCAACUCAUCAACAACUUGCAGGGGCAGUUGGUGGAGAUUUUGCCUCAGGUGGAUCGCUGGCAGAUGGAGGUUACCGCCUGGAUGCGCAAUCCGUCAAGCAUUCCCAAGAUUUAUGAUUUGGAAGUACCGGAGCCCGUGGGCUUGCCUAAUUCCUUUGAGCCAGAACUGCCAUUGACACCGCCGCCGCCUGCUCCACCAACCGAGCGGCUCACCCUCAUCCAUCCCCUCACGAUUCAUGUGUUGGAUGUGGUGGACCGAACAGUACCUUUCAUGGAAUUUCGCCAAGACAAUGAGCCUGAUGAAGAGGAAGCCCUCGCCAGGAGGCAUGAUUACUCCCGCUUUUGCUUCAGGGGA